UACGUAGGUGGCAAGCGUUGUCCGGAUUUAUUGGGCGUAAAGAGCUCGUAGGCGGUUUGUCGCGUCUGCUGUGAAAACUCGGGGCUUAACUCCGGGCCUGCAGUGGGUACGGGCAGACUAGAGUGCGGUAGGGGAGACUGGAAUUCCUGGUGUAGCGGUGAAAUGCGCAGAUAUCAGGAGGAACACCGGUGGCGAAGGCGGGUCUCUGGGCCGUAACUGACGCUGAGGAGCGAAAGCGUGGGGAGCGAACAGG
rnacentral:rRNA from 1 species